rnacentral:tRNA from 1 species
CGGGCCGUGGCUCAAUUGGCGGAGCAAGGCGCGUGUAGCGUCGAGGAGUUGGUUCGAAUCCAGCCGGCCCGA